rnacentral:rRNA from 1 species
UACGUAGGGACCAAGCGUUGUUCGGAUUUACUGGGCGUAAAGGGCGCGUAGGCGGCGUGUCAAGUCAAUUGUGAAAUCUCCGAGCUUAACUCGGAACGGUCAAUUGAUACUGAUGUGCUAGAGUGCAGAAGGGGCAAUCGGAAUUCUUGGUGUAGCGGUGAAAUGCGUAGAUAUCAGGAAGAACACCGAUGGCGAAGGCAGUUCUCUGGGACGGUACUGACGCUGAGACGCGAAAGCGUGGGGAGCGAACAGG